rnacentral:rRNA from 1 species
GGUCAGGACGAACGCUGGCGGCGUGCCUAAUACAUGCAAGUCGAGCGGACCGACGGGAGCUUGCUCCCUUAGGUCAGCGGCGGACGGGUGAGUAACACGUGGGUAACCUGCCUGUAAGACUGGGAUAACUCCGGGAAACCGGGGCUAAUACCGGAUGCUUGAUUGAACCGCAUGGUUCAAUUAUAAAAGGUGGCUUUUAGCUACCACUUACAGAUGGACCCGCGGCGCAUUAGCUAGUUGGUGAGGUAACGGCUCACCAAGGCGACGAUGCGUAGCCGACCUGAGAGGGUGAUCGGCCACACUGGGACUGAGACACGGCCCAGACUCCUACGGGAGGCAGCAGUAGGGAAUCUUCCGCAAUGGACGAAAGUCUGACGGAGCAACGCCCGCGUGAGUGAUGAAGGUUUUCGGAUCGUAAAACUCUGUUGUUAGGGAAGAACAAGUACCGUUCGAAUAGGGCGGUACCUUGACGGUACCUAACCAGAAAGCCACGGCUAACUACGUGCCAGCCGCCGC